rnacentral:rRNA from 1 species
ACGGGACCCGCACAAGCAGCGGAGCAUGUGGUUUAAUUCGAAGCAACGCGAAGAACCUUACCAGGGCUUGACAUCCCCUGACCGCGUAUGAAAGUACGUUUUCACCCUCGGGUGACAGGGAGACAGGUGGUGCAUGGUUGUCGUCAGCUCGUGUCGUGAGAUGUUGGGUUAAGUCCCGCAACGAGCGCAACCCCUACGUUUAGUUGCUAACGCGUGAAGGCGAGCACUCUAGACGAACUGCCGUUGACAAAACGGAGGAAGGUGGGGAUGACGUCAAAUCAUCAUGCCCCUUAUGUUCUGGGCUACACACGUGCUACAAUGGCCGGUACAGACGGACGCAAAGCCGCGAGGUGGAGCAAAUCCUAAAAAGCCGGUCUCAGUUCGGAUUGCAGGCUGCAAUUCGCCUGCACGAAGUCGGAAUCGCUAGUAAUCGCAGGUCAGCAUACUGCGGUCGAAUACGUUCCCGGGCCUU